rnacentral:tRNA from 1 species
AACAUUAUAUUGUGAAUCUAACAACAGGAAAUAAAUCUCCUUAUUUACC